AGAGUUUGAUCCUGACUCAGGAUGAACGCUAGCGACAGGCUUAACACAUGCAAGUCGAGGGGCAGCAGGGGAGUAGCAAUACUCCCGCUGGCGACCGGCGCACGGGUGAGUAACACGUAUGCAACCUGCCCUUGUCAGGGGGAUAAGCGGAAGAAAUUCCGUCUAAUACCGCAUAACGCUGCGGGGAGACAUCUCCCUGCAGCCAAAGAUUUAUCGGACAAGGAUGGGCAUGCGGCGCAUUAGCUGGUUGGCGGGGUAACGGCCCACCAAGGCGACGAUGCGUAGGGGUUCUGAGAGGAAGGUCCCCCACACUGGUACUGAGACACGGACCAGACUCCUACGGGAGGCAGCAGUGAGGAAUAUUGGUCAAUGGCCGGGAGGCUGAACCAGCCAAGUCGCGUGAGGGAAGACGGUCCUAUGGAUUGUAAACCUCUUUUGUCAGGGAGCAAAAACUGCCACGCGUGGCAGGAUGAGAGUACCUGAAGAAAAAGCAUCGGCUAACUCCGUGCCAGCAGCCGCGGUAAUACGGAGGAUGCGAGCGUUAUCCGGAUUUAUUGGGUUUAAAGGGUGCGUAGGCGGACAGUUAAGUCAGCGGUAAAAUUGAGAGGCUCAACCUCUUCCCGCCGUUGAAACUGAUUGUCUUGAGUGGGCGAGAAGUAUGCGGAAUGCGUGGUGUAGCGGUGAAAUGCAUAGAUAUCACGCAGAACUCCGAUUGCGAAGGCAGCAUACCGGCGCCCAACUGACGCUGAAGCACGAAAGCGUGGGUAUCGAACAGGAUUAGAUACCCUGGUAGUCCACGCAGUAAACGAUGAAUACUAAUUGUUCGGGUCAAAUGAGAUCUGAGUGAUACAGCGAAAGCGUUAAGUAUUCCACCUGGGGAGUACGCCGGCAACGGUGAAACUCAAAGGAAUUGACGGGGGCCCGCACAAGCGGAGGAACAUGUGGUUUAAUCCGAUGAUACGCGAGGAACCUUACCCGGGCUCAAACGACACAGGAAUGAUCUGAGAAAUCAGACAGUCCUUCGGGACCUGUGUCGAGGUGCUGCAUGGUUGUCGUCAGCUCGUGCCGUGAGGUGUCGGCUUAAGUGCCAUAACGAGCGCAACCCCCAUCGACAGUUGCCAGCAGGUGAAGCUGGGCACUCUGUCGAGACUGCCGGCGCAAGCUGUGAGGAAGGCGGGGAUGACGUCAAAUCAGCACGGCCCUUACGUCCGGGGCGACACACGUGUUACAAUGGCAGGUACAGCGGGAAGCCACCUGGCGACAGGGAGCGGAACCCGAAAGCCUGUCUCAGUUCGGAUUGGAGUCUGCAACUCGACUCCAUGAAGCUGGAUUCGCUAGUAAUCGCGCAUCAGCCACGGCGCGGUGAAUACGUUCCCGGGCCUUGUACACACCGCCCGUCAAG
rnacentral:rRNA from 1 species